rfam:TPA: Bos taurus chromosome 3, whole genome shotgun sequence.
UCCCUGCUGGCUCGGACGGUAAAGCGUCUGCCUAUUAUGCAGAAGACCUGGGUUUGAUCCCUGGGUUGGGAA